GGCCAUGAAAUCCUCACCAAGAACACAACAAAUUUUACAAACUUCAUCCUCUCAUCUCUUACUUCACCACCACCUACAAAUCACCUUUCAAACACCACAAAUUUCAGUCACAAAUUCACCGGAAAACGUGACCCAAAGAAACCUAAAAAGAAAACCCAUUUUUUUUCUCUCUCUCUCCUCUGUUUCGUGUUUCACACCACCACCACCGCUUGCCGCCGAUCGCGCGACACCGGACCUGUGCCACGCUCAGUCGCACCUUUCCCUGCUUCGCUGUCGCUCGCCGGCCACCCGCCGCGUCAUCACCACUCGCGUCUUCUCUCCCUCUCCAUCGCACUCUCCUUUCUCACUCAUCUUCAUCGCGCCUGCUGUACGCGCACACCACUGACGACCCGCGCCACACUGCCGGAGAUCGCCGUUGCACCGCUGUCGCUGCUCGCCGCCGACCACUAGAGCCGGAACCGAAGCCACGCUGCCUCGCUUCGUCACCUCUGCUCUUAGUAGCAGAGGUACCGAUGGUGAUAACGGAACGACGUAGCAGUGAGGAGUAAUAUAAUAUUUGAACUUAUGUAGACUCUCAUGGUUUUAAUUUAAGUUAAAAUUAGACUCUAAUUAGUAAAUAAGUUUUUAUUAAUCGAACUAAUGUUGGAUCCAUAUUAUAUUUCACGUUGAAAUGUGUUUAAAUUUUUGAGUUUA